CUCCUGAGGUGGCGAGCGGCGGACGGGUGAGUAAUGCCUAGGGAUCUGCCCAGUCGAGGGGGAUAACAGUUGGAAACGACUGCUAAUACCGCAUACGCCCUACGGGGGAAAGGAGGGGACCUUCGGGCCUUCCGCGAUUGGAUGAACCUAGGUGGGAUUAGCUAGUUGGUGAGGUAAUGGCUCACCAAGGCGACGAUCCCUAGCUGUUCUGAGAGGAUGAUCAGCCACACUGGGACUGAGACACGGCCCAGACUCCUACGGGAGGCAGCAGUGGGGAAUAUUGCACAAUGGGGGAAACCCUGAUGCAGCCAUGCCGCGUGUGUGAAGAAGGCCUUCGGGUUGUAAAGCACUUUCAGUAGGGAGGAAAGGGUGUAGUUUAAUACGCUAUAUCUGUGACGUUACCUACAGAAGAAGGACCGGCUAACUCCGUGCCAGCAGCCGCGGUAAUACGGAGGGUCCGAGCGUUAAUCGGAAUUACUGGGCGUAAAGCGUGCGCAGGCGGUUUGUUAAGCGAGAUGUGAAAGCCCUGGGCUCAACCUAGGAAUAGCAUUUCGAACUGGCGAACUAGAGUCUUGUAGAGGGGGGUAGAAUUCCAGGUGUAGCGGUGAAAUGCGUAGAGAUCUGGAGGAAUACCGGUGGCGAAGGCGGCCCCCUGGACAAAGACUGACGCUCA
rnacentral:rRNA from 1 species